UUAAAUUGAAGAGUUUGAUCAUGGCUCAGAUUGAACGCUGGCGGCAGGCCUAACACAUGCAAGUCGAACGGUAACAGGAAGCAGCUUGCUGCUUUGCUGACGAGUGGCGGACGGGUGAGUAAUGUCUGGGAAACUGCCUGAUGGAGGGGGAUAACUACUGGAAACGGUAGCUAAUACCGCAUAACGUCGCAAGACCAAAGAGGGGACCUUC
rnacentral:rRNA from 1 species